GCUACACAUGCAAGUCGAGCGGAACGAUGGAAGCUUGCUUCCAGGCGUCGAGCGGCGGACGGGUGAGUAAUGCAUAGGAAUCUGCCCGAUAGUGGGGGAUAACCUGGGGAAACUCAGGCUAAUACCGCAUACGUCCUACGGGAGAAAGCAGGGGAUCUUCGGACCUUGCGCUAUCGGAUGAGCCUAUGUCGGAUUAGCUAGUUGGUGGGGUAAUGGCCUACCAAGGCGACGAUCCGUAGCUGGUCUGAGAGGAUGAUCAGCCACAUCGGGACUGAGACACGGCCCGAACUCCUACGGGAGGCAGCAGUGGGGAAUAUUGGACAAUGGGCGAAAGCCUGAUCCAGCCAUGCCGCGUGUGUGAAGAAGGCUUUCGGGUUGUAAAGCACUUUCAGUGAGGAAGAACGCUUCCGGAUUAAUACUCCGGAAGAAAGACAUCACUCACAGAAGAAGCACCGGCUAACUCCGUGCCAGCAGCCGCGGUAAUACGGAGGGUGCGAGCGUUAAUCGGAAUUACUGGGCGUAAAGCGCGCGUAGGUGGCUUGAUAAGCCGGUUGUGAA
rnacentral:rRNA from 1 species